UGGAUCCAGACUUUGAUUCUGGCUCAGGAUGAACGCUAGCGACAGGCUUAACACAUGCAAGUCGAGGGGAAACGACAUCGAAAGCUUGCUUUUGAUGGGCGUCGACCGGCGCACGGGUGAGUAACGCGUAUCCAACCUGCCCACCACUUGGGGAUAACCUUGCGAAAGUAAGACUAAUACCCAAUGACGUCUCUAGAAGACAUCUGAAAGAGAUUAAAGAUUUAUCGGUGAUGGAUGGGGAUGCGUCUGAUUAGCUUGUUGGCGGGGUAACGGCCCACCAAGGCUACGAUCAGUAGGGGUUCUGAGAGGAAGGUCCCCCACAUUGGAACUGAGACACGGUCCAAACUCCUACGGGAGGCAGCAGUGAGGAAUAUUGGUCAAUGGACGAGAGUCUGAACCAGCCAAGUAGCGUGCAGGAUGACGGCCCUAUGGGUUGUAAACUGCUUUUAUAAGGGAAUAAAGUGAGCCUCGUGAGACUUUUUGCAUGUACCUUAUGAAUAAGGACCGGCUAAUUCCGUGCCAGCAGCCGCGGUAAUACGGAAGGUCCGGGCGUUAUCCGGAUUUAUUGGGUUUAAAGGGAGCGUAGGCCGGAGAUUAAGCGUGUUGUGAAAUGUAGAUGCUCAACAUCUGCACUGCAGCGCGAACUGGUUUCCUUGAGUACGCACAAAGUGGGCGGAAUUCGUGGUGUAGCGGUGAAAUGCUUAGAUAUCACGAAGAACUCCGAUUGCGAAGGCAGCUCACUGGAGCGCAACUGACGCUGAAGCUCGAAAGUGCGGGUAUCGAACAGGAUUAGAUACCCUGGUAGUCCGCACGGUAAACGAUGGAUGCCCGCUGUUGGUCUGAAUAGGUCAGCGGCCAAGCGAAAGCAUUAAGCAUCCCACCUGGGGAGUACGCCGGCAACGGUGCAACUCAAAUGAAUUGACGGA
rnacentral:rRNA from 1 species